UGGUGGAGGUGGCUAGAAAUAAGCAGAAAUGUCUUCAAAAAAUACUCCAGAGUUCUGAGGUCAUCACUACAGAAAACGGCGAUUUGGGUCAUAACGCGGCGGACCAUUUUGUUCAGAGAUCGAAAGGUUGUCCAUGUCUGUGGCAUCCGGG